rnacentral:rRNA from 1 species
AGUGGCGGACGGGUGAGUAACACGUAAGAAUUUGCCUUUAGGAGGGGGACAACAACUAGAAAUGGUUGCUAAUACCCCAUAUGCUUUCGAGUGAAAUGGAUUUUUCCGCCUAGAGAGAAGCUUGCGGCUGAUUAGCUUGUUGGUGAGGUAAUGGCUCACCAAGGCGACGAUCAGUAUCUGGUUUGAGAGGACGAUCAGACACACUGGAACUGAGACACGGUCCAGACUCCUACGGGAGGCAGCUGUGGGGAAUUUUCCGCAAUGGGCGAAAGCCUGACGGAGCAAUACCGCGUGAGGGAUGAAGGCCUAUGGGUUGUAAACCUCUUUUUUCAGGGAGGAAUAAAUGACGUGUACCUGAAGAAUAAGCAUCGGCUAACUCCGUGCCAGCAGCCGCGGUAAGACGGGGGAUGCAAGUGUUAUCCGGAAUCACUGGGCGUAAAGCGUCUGUAGGUGGUUAAGUAAGUCAACUGUUAAAUCUUGAGGCUCAACCUCAAAAUCGCAGUCGAAACUGCUUGACUAGAGUAUGGUAGGGGUAAAGGGAAUUUCCAGUGGAGCGGUGAAAUGCGUAGAUAUUGGAAAGAACACCGAUGGCGAGGGCACUUUACUGGGCUAUUACUAACACUGAGAGACGAAAGCUAGGGUAGCAAAUGGGAUUAGAUACCCCAGUAGUCCUAGCUGUAAACAAUGGAUACUAGAUGUU